GAUGAACGCUGGCGGCGUGCUUAACACAUGCAAGUCGAACGAACCUUCGGGUUAGUGGCGGACGGGUGAGUAACGCGUGAGAAUCUGCCCUCAGGAGGGGGACAACAGCUGGAAACGGCCGCUAAUACCCCAUAUGCCGAGAGGUGAAAUGAAUUUCGCCUGAGGAUGAGCUCGCGUCUGAUUAGCUUGUUGGUAAGGUAAUGGCUUACCAAGGCAUCGAUCAGUAGCUGGUCUGAGAGGAUGAUCAGCCACACUGGGACUGAGACACGGCCCAGACUCCUACGGGAGGCAGCAGUGGGGAAUUUUCCGCAAUGGGCGAAAGCCUGACGGAGCAACGCCGCGUGAGGGAUGAAGGCCUCUGGGCUGUAAACCUCUUUUAUCAAGGAAGAAGAUCUGACGGUACUUGAUGAAUAAGCCACGGCUAAUUCCGUG
rnacentral:rRNA from 1 species